rnacentral:rRNA from 1 species
AGGCCUUUACUGACGCUAAAGCUCGAAGGUGCGGGUAUCGAACAGGAUUAGAUACCCUGGUAGUCCGCACGGUAAACGAUGGAUGCCCGCUGUUUGCGAUAUACUGUGAGCGGCCAAGAGAAAUCGUUAAGCAUCCCACCUGGGGAGUACGCCGGCAACGGUGAAACUCAAAGGAAUUGACGGGGGCCCGCACAAGCGGAGGAACAUGUGGUUUAAUUCGAUGAUACGCGAGGAACCUUACCCGGGCUUGAACUGCAGCGGAAGGAUACAGAGAUGUUGACGCCCUUCGGGGCCGCUGUGGAGGUGCUGCAUGGUUGUCGUCAGCUCGUGCCGUGAGGUGUCGGCUUAAGUGCCAUAACGAGCGCAACCCUUUUCAUUAGUUGCCAUCAGGUAAUGCUGGGCACUCUGGUGAUACUGCCACCGUAAGGUGUGAGGAAGGUGGGGAUGACGUCAAAUCAGCACGGCCUGAACGUCCGGGGCUACACACGUGUUACAAUGGGGGGUAUGAAGAGUCGGGAUGUACGCAAGUACAUUCUAAUCCUAAAAGCCUUCCUCAGUUCGGAUUGGGGUCUGCAACCCGACCCCAUGAAGCUGGAUUCG